CCUACGGGAGGCAGCAGUGAGGAAUAUUGGUCAAUGGCCGGAAGGCUGAACCAGCCAAGCCGCGUGAAGGACGAAGGUGCCAAGCAUUGUAAACUUCUUUUGUCAAGGGACAAAAUCAUGCUCGAGUGCCUGACCGAGGGUACUUGAAGAAAAAGCAUCGGCUAACUCCGUGCCAUCCGCCGCGGUACUAGGGUGGAUGCGAGCUUUAUCCGGAUUUAUUGGGUUAAACGGGUGCGUAGGCGGACUGUUAAGUCAGCGGUAAAGGCCCGGGGCUCAACCCCGGCGAGCCGUUGAAACUGGGUGUCUUGAGAUGUCGAGAGGUAGGCGGAAUGCGCAGUGUAGCGGUGAAAUGCUUAGAGAUGGCGCAGAACUCCGAUGGCGAAGGCAGCAUACCGGCGGCGAUCUGACGCUGAGGUACGAAAGCGUGGGUAUCGAACAGGAUUAGAUACCCUAGUAGUC
rnacentral:rRNA from 1 species